UGACAAAACGAAUUGUGGUUUUUCUCA
rnacentral:piRNA from 1 species